UGGGGAAUAUUGCACAAUGGGGGAAACCCUGAUGCAGCGACGCCGCGUGAACGAAGAAGGUAUUCGUAUCGUAAAGUUCUGUCCUAUGGGAAGAUAAUGAAAGUACCAUAGAAGAAAGCUCCGGCUAAAUACGUGCCAGCAGCCGCGGUAAUACGUAUGGAGCGAGCGUUGUCCGGAAUUAUUGGGCGUAAAGGGUACGCAGGCGGUUUAAUAAGUCGAAUGUUAAAGAUCGGGGCUCAACCCCGCAAAGCAUUGGAAACUGAUAAACUUGAGUAGUGGAGAGGAAAGUGGAAUUCCUAGUGUAGUGGUGAAAUACGUAGAUAUUAGGAGGAAUACCAGUAGCGAAGGCGACUUUCUGGACACAAACUGACGCUGAGGUACGAAAGCGUGGGGAGCAAACAGG
rnacentral:rRNA from 1 species